rnacentral:rRNA from 1 species
GAUGAACGCUGGCUACAGGCUUAACACAUGCAAGUCGAGGGGAAACGACGGGGAAGCUUGCUUCCCCGGGCGUCGACCGGCGCACGGGUGAGUAACGCGUAUCCAACCUGCCUCUGACUGAGGGAUAACCCGUCGAAAGUCGGCCUAAUACCUCAUGGCAUCGUCUGCGGGCAUCCAACGACGAUUAAAGAUUUCAUCGGUCAGGGAUGGGGAUGCGUCUGAUUAGCUAGUUGGCGGGGUAACGGCCCACCAAGGCGACGAUCAGUAGGGGUUCUGAGAGGAAGGUCCCCCACAUUGGAACUGAGACACGGUCCAAACUACUACGGGAGGAAGCAGUGAGGAAUAUUGGUCAAUGGGCGAGAGCCUGAACCAGCCAAGUAGCGUGCAGGAUGACGGCCCUAUGGGUUGUAAACUGCUUUUAUGCGGGGAUAAAGUGAGGGACGUGUCCUUCAUUGCAGGUACCGCAUGAAUAAGGACCGGCUAAUUCCGUG